AAUACCUGAACGCAUCGCCAGGCGGCGCCUCCCUUCCACAGUCUCUGCUCCAUGCCCCCUUCACAUGUUGGCAUGUAGAGUGUGACGCAGUUAUAAAACUUUUCCUGGACCAUGUUGGGAGAAUCGUCCGUGACCUUUUUAAACGUUGUGCUAAGUCUAUUUGUACUGCUCGUGCUUUAUUACUGAAUCCAGCUCGAGUCAGAGCUGACAGGAUAAUGUUGACAUUUUGACACUAUUCCUGCGAAACUGUUUUUAUCUCGCUUGAUUCGGAGUCUUAUUAAGCUAGCUUGAGCUCGCGCUCGCACUCGCACUCGCUAGCCGUUUGCUGCUAGCUCUCUCCAAAAUGAAGACCUUUUCACCAAGAAUACACGACAAACACGCAUCGUCCCAUCACGUCAGGGUAGGAGUCUCCUCUGUUGGUGCAGAUUCGAGUCCCACUACCUUCUUGUUUGCUGCUGUAACUCCAUGAAUUUCCCCGCUGUGGGACGAAUAAAGGAGUACCUUAUUUUGUCUUAGACAACAAGCCUUCACCAUAGUGUGUAGAUGGCACAGAAGAACUUCUUCUCCCUGAACGGGUUCUCUGAUGCUGGGACCGGUGAUAACAGAGGGUCCUCUUUGGCGUGGGCUUCGCAGUACGACAUCAAGUCUGCCGCUGCUUUUGAGACCUGAGACUGGACUGUAGAGAGGACAAGCCUGGCCGGUGUCCCAUCUGCCAGUCAACAUCGCCACCUUCAGGCCAAACUGAGACCUACAUGGAUGGAGGGAGAUCCUUUCACAGAAAGGAUUAAGGACACAGACAUACAAACUCUUACAGGUUGUAAGUUUGACCGUAUACUGAAGUCAGAAAAUGUAGGAAGAACAAAUUAUGAAGACUUUAAGGACAUGGGUUAUGAGUGUAUGGCUAUGUACCUCAACACAUACAGUUGUAAUAUAAGAAACUCUGUCCAUCAAAAUAUGACAAUCUCCAUGAAUGAGCAGAAAUAUAGCUUUUAACAGUAAGAGGAAAAAUGUAAGAAUAUAAAAGUCAUUCUUUAUUAUUUAGCGGUAUCAAAUUAAUUUAUUUUUAUAACAUGAAUGUUUCUUUUAAAAACGUGUUCAGGCGCUUUCAUGCCUGCAUGUGAAGAAUGUGGAUGUAAAUCAACACGGGGUUAGAUGAAGCUGACACGAUGUCUCAAAACAAGCGACAGUGAUUUAAAAUGAGUUCAAGUCUCAUGCAGAAGUUUGGAAACACUGACACACUUCACUGUUCUGACCUUAGGCUCAAAGUCAGGGUGAAUAAAACAUGAUGAGGUUCAUCGUCACAGCUUUGUCGUUACUCACUAACAGCUGAUAGACCUUCAGUGAAACGACCUGUUGAAGAUGUCAGAGAAGCUGAAAAAACAAACGGGAUCUGAAAAAGAAAACAAAGUGAACACUGAACAGUUCAUUCAUUUUGGCAGUUUUCAGAAAAAGAAUGAUCAGCUGCUGUUCUUGCACAGACUCAGAGGAGCAGAUUGAUACCACUCCCAAGUUUUUAAGACAGGAAUGAAGCCAACACCUGCAGCCUUGCUGUUAGCUUUGCAUAAAAAUGGAGACAGGUCGUCUGGCUCUGUUCAGUGAGAACAAGAUCCACUGAUAGCAUCUCUCUGCUGGUAGUGUUUUCUGGCAAAAGAAAUCUAAUUCUGCUGCUUUAUCACAGUCUAAUGUGUUUAGUUUGACAUCUACCCCCUUGCAGUGGUUACAAGCGUUAGAAAGUAUGAUAUUGACCUUAUUGAUCUCACUGCUAGUGUUGAUUUCAGUCUGUUUUAUAGCUUGGCUAGUUUCCUCACUGGAGCUCCGAGGGAAAUUCAAACUGAUGACUUCAGUUAAAUAAAAAUGCAACUCUGUGAUCUCAGUGAAACAUGACAGUGCAGUAUUUCCAAACUUGUACAAACAGGAGAAGUGAUGUACCUGAAGAAAAGCUUCAAAAUGUUGGAUCUUAAAAAAACAUGACGUUAUUGAUUAAAAUCAGAAGAGGAUGUAACUGUGGCACUCUGAAUGUUAACUGCAUGAUUUUUGGGUAAAGACGUCUCAUUAAGUAAGUCUUCUGUCCUCAUUCACACCAGUUAAAAUCAUUGAGAAUGGGAUUUGAGAUGUAACAGCUUUAAAACAUCUUCGUGGAGCCCACAGUCUUCUUGAGUCUGUGGGCUAAGAAAAGAUAAAACCAGUCUUGAUCAGAGCCGCUAACAUCACACGUCCUUAAUACUGUCACUAACAUAUUUGUAAUACUGAAUGAAACCAACCGCACGAAGAAUACCUGUUCAACAUACACAAGUCUGGACAGCUUAUACAAAAACACAACAUGAACAAAGCUUUCAGGUAAAACAGAAAGGAUGCAAAAUAAAAACCAUGUAACAAAUUCCAGUUUUAGAUGAUGGAUGAAAAGAAAAGGAGGACGAGAAUAAAACAGACCCGAGCAGACCUGCGUGUUUGCAUCGACUUGUAUGGUUUGUUUUGGCCCACAGCUCACCUGGCCUCAAUUUAGAGAAGAUUUCAGGGAAGCUGUUCCGGCCUCACGCUCGACACAAGCCGAGACAUGCAGGAACUAACUCGACCUCAUUCCUGCCUGAAAACUCAGUCUGAUUCUAAAAGACAUAGAAAUGUUUAAAAUCCUUUCGACAUUUAAAUAAAUCUGUAAAAACUGGCUUCAUCUUAUAAAGGAGUGUGUGUGUCUCGUGUUAAGAAAUAAGCAAAGCUCUGAGUUUUGAUGGCUUGAACUUUGAAAGUAUGUGAUUGUCAAGGCGACGGUUUGACACCUGCAUAGAGAGAUGAAGGCACGUCGGGUGUGUUCACAUGAUUCAGAGUCCAGUCUGAGAGGCGGGAGCUGGCAUGCUGCACUUCCUGUCGUGGUUCGAUGAAAUGGUGCAGGAGAGAUCGAGGGGAGGGUUAAAGUUCAUUUCCCCUCCCGCCGUCCACAACUUUGAAAUGUGUGAAGCUUUUUUUUUUUUUCUUGUCUUGUCUUUGGUUUGCAGCUCAGAGUGAUCUGUCUUUUGUGUCCUCCAGAAAAGAUCUUUGAUAUGCUCUUUGUGUCUGCGCAUGAGUCUCUGUAACACCGCCUGCAUGCACACACACUCUUUAGGAGGCAAACACGACGUGUGGUUCUUGAACAGUCAGUGAGACACAUUUGAAUAAAAAUGUUUCUUGAAAGAAGA